rnacentral:rRNA from 1 species
AAUGGGGGCAACCCUGAUCCAGCAAUGCCGCGUGGGUGAUGAAGGCCUUCGGGUUGUAAAGCCCUUUCGGCGGGGAAGAUGAUGACGGUACCCGCAGAAGAAGCCCCGGCUAACUUCGUGCCAGCAGCCGCGGUAAUACGAAGGGGGCUAGCGUUGUUCGGAAUUACUGGGCGUAAAGGGCGCGUAGGCUGUGCUGCAAGUCAGGCGUGAAAGGCCCGGGCUCAACCUGGGAACUGCGCAUGAUACUGCGGCGCUUGAAGGCGGGAGAGGAUGGCGGAAUUCCCAGUGUAGAGGUGAAAUUCGUAGAUAUUGGGAAGAACACCGGUGGCGAAGGCGGCCAUCUGGCCCGUGAUUGACGCUGAGGCGCGAAAGCGUGGGGAGCAAACAGGAUUAGAUACCCUGGUAGUCCACGCUGUAAACGAUGAGUGCUAGACGUCGGGGAGCUUGCUCUUCGGUGUCGCCGCUAACGCAUUAAGCACUCCGCCUGGGGAGUACG